GUGGGGAAUAUUGGACAAUGGGCGAAAGCCUGAUCCAGCCAUGCCGCGUGUGUGAAGAAGGUCUUCGGAUUGUAAAGCACUUUAAGUUGGGAGGAAGGGCAGUAAGUUAAUACCUUGCUGUUUUGACGUUACCGACAGAAUAAGCACCGGCUAACUUCGUGCCAGCAGCCGCGGUAAUACGAAGGGUGAAGCGUUAAUCGGAAUUACUGGGCGUAAAGCGCGCGUAGGUGGUUUUGUAAGUUGGAGGUGAAAUCCCCGGGCUCAACCUGGGAACUGCCUCCAAAACUGCAUGACUAGAGUACGGUAGAGGGUAGUGGAAUUUCCUGUGUAGCGGUGAAAUGCGUAGAUAUAGGAAGGAACACCAGUGGCGAAGGCGACUACCUGGACUGAUACUGACACUGAGGUGCGAAAGCGUGGGGAGCAAACAGGAUUAGAAACCCUGGUAGUCC
rnacentral:rRNA from 1 species